CAGCGGAGUCUUGGCAGCGUAAUGAUCAACUAAUUUGUCUAUUGUCCUUGGAACGAGCUAGCAAUCGCUUUGAAAUUGAGUAACCUUAAGUGUUCGAUUUCCAGAGGGGCAAGCUACUUUUGGUAGUCAGGAGACUCGAGGAUUAGUUCAAAAUGAGUCUAAAUGAACACGACACGCGUACAAACCGUUAUGGAUGGGAAAGUACUAGUGGACAAGAAGACUUAUGGACAUCGACAUCGUACGGAUAGAAUUUAAUUACCGUCCCUUCAUAACAAAGAUCAGAUAAGUGAAGACUACUGUGAGUCAAGAGAUCGGAAUGGUUCGAACAAGCUCUAAUUUUAUUUUUGCCCUUUACCUACCUACCGUAAGCCAGCAAUCAAGGUUGAAGGGAAGCGAGAAAAGGAAACCUGGUGAAACACUGGAGGCAGAAGAGUUCAAAUAUCUUGGACAAGGUAGAAGGACUACAGCAGCACUUCGUAUUCUAUUCGUCGUCCUCUCCAAAUGAAAAGGGAUUCUAUGUAGCCUUGGUGCUUGUUCUUGGUGUCUGUCUGUUUCUAACAUGGGUAUUUAAGCAUUUAGUCUUGGAUAAGGGCAAAAGGCUGCUUCGACGAAAAGAGCUGAGCAAGUCCGAAAAGCAACGGGAGAAGCGAAAAUUGAAAAAGAUGCGAAAGCACGCCAAGAAACAAGAAGAGGGAAUUCCGGGAAGCCACGAACAGGACCCAUCACGUGAACUCAAGAGGCCGAUCGGGUUCAAGAAACUGUACAGACGAGGGCACAACCUUUGAUUGAUAAUUUAGUUACAAUUGAAUGCAAACUUGGUUUGUAAUCAAAAUCAUCUCUAAUAACAAGUCUUCAAGAUA